UUAUACCCUUAAUGAAAGCUCAACAUCAACCAUUGGAUCUAAUUCUUCACGUUAUAAUCUGAGCCGUCCGAUCUUUAAAGAUGAAAUAUUUACAAUAAUGUCAUUAAUGAAACUUGUCUCUCAGCCGAUGGAUCUUAUGAGUCUGUUUUAAUCUUAGCCAUCAGAUUUUGUCUGGGUCCCACUGAAAAUUUAAUCACUCUUCUUCUUCUUCAUUUCUUCUUCAACCAUACCCAACCACGAAAAUUCAUUUCCUUCACCAACCAAACCUCUAUUCUUCAACUCUUCACCCACAAACCUUUACCUCUGUUUCUUAGGGUAUUUUUACAGGUUAUGACACCGCG
rnacentral:lncRNA from 1 species